rnacentral:rRNA from 1 species
AUUGAACGCUGGCGGAAUGCUUUACACAUGCAAGUCGAACGGCAGCGCGGGGCAACCUGGUGGCGAGUGGCGAACGGGUGAGUAAUACAUCGGAACGUGCCCAAUCGUGGGGAUAACGUAGCGAAAGUUACGCUAAUACCGCAUACGAUCUACGGAUGAAAGCGGGGGAUCGCAAGACCUCGCGCGAAUGGAGCGGCCGAUGUCAGAUUAGGUAGUUGGUGGGGUAAAGGCUCACCAAGCCAACGAUCUGUAGCUGGUCUGAGAGGACGACCAGCCACACUGGAACUGAGACACGGUCCAGACUCCUACGGGAGGCAGCAGUGGGGAAUUUUGGACAAUGGGCGCAAGCCUGAUCCAGCCAUUCCGCGUGCAGGAUGAAGGCCUUCGGGUUGUAAACUGCUUUUGUACGGAACGAAACGGUCUGCCCUAAUACCGCGGACUAAUGACGGUACCCGAAGAAUAAGCACCGGCUAACUACGUG